GCACUUUCAAGCAAGUGAAUAUCGAUACAAAGAGGAUCUGAAACAAUGCAAAGAGGAGCUGGAAAAAAAAAGAGAUGAACUCGAAAAGCACAAGAAGAAUCUUCAGCAUGAACUCCAAGCACGUCAGGAACUGGAACAAUACAAGACAAAUUCUGAGAACCUUCAAGCAAGUGAAUAUCAAUGUAAAGAGGAGCUGAACCAAUACAAAGAUGAGCUGAAACAAUACAAGGAGGAGCUAAAACAAAA